CUGUAGGCUUGACUAACUCACAUAAGGCACUUCUGGAGAGCUGGAGCAGAAAGCUUGCUUGACAACAGUCACAGUUGCUGUUUGCAAAAAAAGACCAGAAGUGUCCGAUUAUAGAGAUCAGCUCUCAGACUGCAUGUCAGCUGCAGGAUACCAUUUGCUUUCACGGCUUGUAUGCUGUACAUACCACUCUACUGUAGUCUUGCAAUAAAGCAAUGGCACACAUACUGGCUGUCAGCGAGUGGUUUUGAAGACUUGAAAACAAGAAGGCAAUUUAAAAUUUGGGUUGGCACCCCUUUGGAUCCUAUGUGAGUGGUGUACCUGCUGAAACCAGAGCUCAGUAUGAAGGAACUACCAUACAAUUUCCUAUUUGUACUAUAAAAGAAGUGAUGAACUGAAACAACUUUGCAGGGAAGUACA